UCACUAAAAAAGUACAUCCAUUUCUCAGGAUCAAUAGGUUUAGCAGCAUAAAGCAACUCACCGACACUGUUGACUUCUGAACAACCGAACAACUGGAAAAGUUUCCUGUUUGGAGCAGCUCCAUCUGCAACUAGUGCCCUUACGAAGAAUCGUACAGUCUCCAUGGCAUUAAUUGCCACUGCUGCCAAUGCUCGUUGUAGGAAAGUAUGCAAUGGGGGCUUCCAAUUUACCACAAAUGCUUCUUGCCAUCAGGACAAGUAUGUGUGUGGCUAAAUGAGGUUCAGAGUUCCCACUGCAUCUCAUCUCGAAAUCUGACAUCUCAUUCGGCAAGUCACCAAUAUCAGUGAAGCUUACAAAUACGAUGAUCACUGAGCAGCUUUCAAUGUGGUCCGAUUUAUAGUGGUUUGUUUCAUCUGAAAAGAAGUAGCAACUGCUGACAAUGUGACUAAAGUCAUCAUUUGAUUGAUAUGAUGGCUACACAUUUCCACCUCGUGAGAAAAACAAAACAAAACAACAAAAACAACAAAACAAAACAAGUUUUUUUUUUUGGUCAUAUAAUUGAAUGUCUAUGUAACAUUGUUCUCUUGACAAUUGUCUCCUAACCAUUCUUAUUUGCACAUCCUGUUGAAAAGAUGAAACAGACAAAAAAAAUCACUAAAAAUGUCGAAAUUAUUAAUAUUAAUAUAUACUAUAUUUUUAAUGUCAUUUUCGGAAGCAAAGUAUAUGAACAGUUCUUGCACUAUGUUUAAUUUUCUUCUACUUGUCCUUUUCGGAAGCAUUGCUGAGGCAGGAGCCUAUUCGACAUCAACCAUUCAUUGUCAACCUGUAUGUAACUCAACAUAAUCAUCAUUGUGUUCCUUUUCUCUAAAGGAGGAAGAUGCAGAAACAACAGGCAAUUUACAAUCUAAAGUAACUAAAGAAAUCUCAUGGCAGCAAAGACAUUCUUCAUACAUCCUAUGGUUAUGAUGGCAUCGCAUCAUAACCAAGCUCAUAAUGACUAUAUAUGGGCAUACAGCAGUGUGGCAAGAGCUUUAAUCUGCAAAAUUAAUUUCUUGCUAAGCUGGUUGAUUCAUUUGAUGUUGUGGGUACUAAAACUGCAUAUGUUCAAGUAACAUUCAGUACAGUAUUAUUUAAGUAUACUUUGCUUCCUUUCUGAUUUAGCAAGUGUUUUCUUUUUCCUUCUGUGCAUUUAGCUGCCUUUAAUUACACCUUAUUCAAGGUUACUCCCAAAGUCCUUAAUUUAUGUGUUUUGUUUACUUGCCUCUGACCAUAAAAUGCAAGUUUGUUAUCUGAAUGUUGUUUCAGUUAUAUUUAUUGUACAGGUAGCACAAUUUGAAAAUCUGCAGGAAUAAUCUAAGAAGAAUAGUUGUAAUCAGAAAAUGACAGACAAAGAAAGAAUGCCUCAGAUAUGGGAAGACCUGGAACAGCAAAGUUAAUAGUGUCACGUCGCUUGUUCAUCUUAUUCCGACCAAAUCCUGCAAUGUUAUAUGCAGACUGCAUCAAUAUAAUUCACUCAGAGACUUUGUACCGAGAGAUGUGUUUACAGAGCUGCAGUAUAGUGACGUAUAAUUAUACAAGCUACAGUUGAACUUGCCCAAGUCGAAUCCAAAUUGCCAUUGAAAUAUUGUUUCGACUUAGGAAAGUUUAACUGUAUAUACAUUCAAGUGGCUUAAGAACAAGCUUUAAAUAUUAAAAUACCAUA